rnacentral:rRNA from 1 species
UACAGAGGAUGCAAGCGUUAUCCGGAAUGAUUGGGCGUAAAGCGUCUGUAGGUGGCUUUUUAAGUCCGCCGUCAAAUCCCAGGGCUCAACUCUGGACAGGCGGUGGAAACUACCAAGCUGGAGUACGGUAGGGGCAGAGGGAAUUUCCGGUGGAGCGGUGAAAUGCGUAGAGAUCGGAAGGAACACCGAUGGCGAAGGCAGCUCGCUGGGACGGUACUGACGCUGAGACGCGAAAGCGUGGGGAGCAAACAGG